rnacentral:lncRNA from 1 species
GUCCAUGGUCAGCUGGCUUCAAGACAGAAACCAUCAUGGUGGAAGGGUAUGGCGGAACAAAGCUGCUCAGUUCAUGGCAGCUGGGGAACAGUGCCAGAGAGGAAGAGGCCAGGGAGUGCUUAGCUAGAGACUGGAAGCACAGGGAGCAGAGCUCUUCCACUGGUGGACAGUUUGCUGAGUAUGCCUGGUACACUGAAGGCCUUCUCUUCGCCUCUGGUGGGGUAGGUGCAGCUCUACUGGCAGCCUCGGAUUUUGAUAGCAAGGAAUGACUUCUGAGGCAGAAGGAAAAUCUACUCAAGUGCAAUCCUGGAGAUGAAGGAAGGAUUGAAGAACAAUAGAAAAGGUGCAGCUGCUAGAAAAUUUUAAAUUAUAAACUGGAUAUGGUGGCUCACAUAAAAUCCCAAAAUUCUGGGAGGCUGAGUCAGGAGGAUCAAAAGUUUGAGCCCAGACUUGGCAACUUAAGCUGGGGAGACCCUUUCUCAAACAUAAAUAAAAGAACUGGGGAUGUAGCUCAAUGCAAAGUCCUUGGGUUCAAUCUCUAGUACUGCAGUAAAUAAAUAAAUAAAGAUGGC